rnacentral:lncRNA from 1 species
CUUCAAGGUGCAGGAUGGAAAAGUUUUGUGAGAUGUUUCCUUCUGUGCUUCACUUAAAAAGGUGGAAAACAGGUUCUUGUUGAAGAAACAUUGGUGAUACUUCUUACUGGAAUUGGUGGGUGGAGCUAAGCACUCCUUUACCCUGCUACUACAGUUUGAGACAUCCUCCAGCAAAGCAAGAAAUGGGCAAUAUUUGCUGUUUUAAAGGCUAUAACACGAGCCAAGCACAGAGCCCAUCUCCAUCUGCA